ACGAACGCUGGCGGCGUGCUUAACACAUGCCAGUCGAACGGAAAGGCCCUGCUUUUGUGGGGUGCUCGAGUGGCGAACGGGUGAGUAACACGUGAGUAACCUGCCCUUGACUUUGGGAUAACUUCAGGAAACUGGGGCUAAUACCGGAUAGGAGCUCCUGCUGCAUGGUGGGGGUUGGAAAGUUUCGGCGGUUGGGGAUGGACUCGCGGCUUAUCAGCUUGUUGGUGGGGUAGUGGCUUACCAAGGCUUUGACGGGUAGCCGGCCUGAGAGGGUGACCGGCCACAUUGGGACUGAGAUACGGCCCAGACUCCUACGGGAGGCAGCAGUGGGGAAUAUUGCACAAUGGGCGGAAGCCUGAUGCAGCAACGCUGCGUGCGGGAUGACGGCCUUCGGGUUGUAAACCGCUUUCGCCUGUGACGAAGCGUGAGUGACGGUAAUGGGUAAAGAAGCACCGGCUAACUACGUG
rnacentral:rRNA from 1 species